CUGAAGGUCAUUUUAUGUCUUGAGGAUACAUACCAUAUAUUUCUUUAAAAAUAAUCAUACUUUUGUAAGCAAUACUUUACAGUAGACACCUCAAAUCUACCAUAGAUGUAAAACUUAAACCGAGAAAAAUUUAGUCUCUAAAUCUUUAUACACAUAUUUAUAUUCGAAUUUCUAUAUAUAUUAUAUAUAUACACAAGCACAAGAAAACUAAUUCAAGAUGCAAAUAAAGCUCAUAUAUAUAUUAAUCAAGAAUUCUCACUGUGUAAAUUGAUGUUAUUCAAUAUCAUUCCCAUUUUGCAUCCAGAUCUGCAGCAUCAUCACUAUUAGUUAAAAAUAAAGCCAAUUUAAAUAAUAACAUAACUCACUUGACUAAAUCUAACACAGAAAGCAGGUUUCAACUAGAAGCAGAAGAACCUCACACAAGGCUGACACUCGCCAGGGGAUGCAGAAUUCACAGCAACUGAGAUAAUGCAGUCUGCUAAUGCUGUACAUAGCACUGUGACAGAGCAGUGAAAUGAUAACGCCUCAGCCUUAUACUGCUGGAGUCAAAAAACACUACUGGAGCUCCCCAAAAAACAGAACAAAACACCCAACAACAAAUACAGAAGACUAACAACACUAAAUUAAACAACCACCUACCUACCCCUCCCUGAUUUACACAUUUUAAAGCCAGAAGGAACCACUGUUACUUCAUCUUAUUGCUUGAGCGACACAGGAAGAAACAAACCUGGUUAAGUUGCCGUUUCAACACCUGUACUUGUACGUGAAUCAGGACCUUACUUGGUAUAACUGCUAACCUUUCUCUAUGGGUUUUUAGACAUGGAUAGCCCCCUCUAUGCACAUUAACUUCUAUAAUGAAUGACUUUGGGUGCUGCAAAUGAAUGUAGACUAAGAACAGACCACACAACUUUCAGUUAGUAUCACCAGGAAUUCAUUAACUAAGUCAUCCCUUUUUUUUGUUCUUGUUGUUUUUUGUUUUGUUAAAAAUGACUGUUUUAAAAUUCUUCCAACUAAGUAAUGUUCAAAUCCUUCUUCCAACCUCACUUGAUUUGCUAGCUACUGUUCUUGCCACCUCUCAACACCUCACAAAAUAGGGUAUUUCUAAUGCAUAAUUUAGUCAUUUAUCCUCAUAAAACUCACUGGCUACAAAAACAUUGUUCUGGUAAUGAAGGUUCUUCAUCAGAAAACACCGCUGAUGCAGCAUUAGAUGAAACUCCUCGCAAUAAAGCUUGUCACAAACAUAGAAACUGUGAUAAUAGCACUGAGAAACAUCCUAGAGGUUAAUGCUGGCAUGUAUGAUUUCAAAUCAAGCUAUCAAAAACAAUGGCUGUUGGACUUCGGGCUUAAGACCAGAACAGACUGACUGUUACAACAAACACUGAAAAGAAGAAGAGCAAACAUCUCACCCACUUCAGGCUGGAGCAAAGACGAGCAUCCCGAGAAACUGGUGCUCAUCGUGACAAGCAACAAUUCAAAACUUCUGCCAGAUUUCUAUCUCAUACACUUCUAUCCUCUGACAGAAGAUCAGAGCAAUAUAGACAAAGACAGACCUAACAACAGUCUCCAAAGCAUGCCUAUCAAAAUACCAAACACAGCUUAUUCCUUGUGCUAGGUGAGUCCAGUGCCGAAAUAGAUUGCAACCUCAAAGAAACUGCAAGAGCAAUGCAGACGCUCCGAUGAAGCAUCAUCCAACUUGAUAAAAACUCACUGACCUAUGCCUGAUGUCUGAGGUAGUUCUUGCAAAGAUGCUACUGCCUCCCCACCAAAAAUAAUCACCCAGAAAACAACUUAGAAACACGGCGAUAUAAAAUCACCUCUACCCAAAGAAACUCAUCGACCACGGCUGCGUGAGUCUGAGAAUCAAGAAUAUAUGCACAAGGUUAAACUAGAGUAACUAGUUGCUUCUAAAUCUGUUCUUUAAUCCUUGCAUUAUCAAACUAAACAAUAAAACCAGGAAAAGCAAAUCCACAGCAUUAAAAUCAGAAUUAUGAAAAACAGAAUUAUGAAAAAAAAUCAGUUUAAAUAGAACAACAGUUCUCAGGAACUUUCUGAUGUGAGGAAGACCAAACCUGAAGAAAAACGAGAGUGCUCAAAACUGGUGUGAUUUAAGCUUCUGGAGGCACAACAAGGUAAUCAGCCCAGAGCAAAAACUCAAUAAAGCCAGGGUACGUGGGGUCUUCAGGGAAGAAGGGGGCAGGAGAGAUAGGAAAAACUGCUGUAUGCUUAGGGAAAUUACACAUUUGGAAAGGCAAACGAAAUACAGAAGAAACCAGACAGUAGUAAAGAGAAAAAAAUCAGAUGAACAGAGGUAUCUCAAAAUCAACACUUGCAGCUAAUACCACAGCAAGUGACUCUGAAGUUUCCUAUUAAGUUACCAAAACCCUGUAUGGAAAUUUCAAGAGGAAAAGGGCCAAAGGAAAAAAAGCCAAGACAGGAAAACACCUGUAAUUCAAGGGACAGAGGAAGCAGAUGGGCAGAAUCUUUAAAGUUGUCUUUGGCAGACCAGUUUCACUCUUCUUUUUUUGACCAUCAAUAACAGUAACUUACUAUUAAUAGCAAUACAAGAGAACUAUUAAACAUUAUCCACAGUGUGCAAAAAAGAGUGAUGGAAAUUAUUAAAACAAACAAACAAACCUCCCCAGAAAUACUAAGACUUGAGAGUGGCACCUGAAAGGAAAGGCUGAGUAUCUCCAGCAAUGAAAACACAGAACUGCAGCCAGUCCAGUGAAAGGUCGUUUUGACCACAGCAACUGUAAGGAAAAUCUCACACCUCUCUGUCACAAGAGCUUAUUUUUGUGACAGGAUUUCAUAUGGGCUGAAAGAGGCAGCAGAUGCAAUGCUAAAUUAAAACCAAGCCUGAUUCAGGCCCUAAGAAAAUAUAUGUCCAAGUAGUUGCCUACAAUGCCAUGAUGGAGGAGUGACUAGAAGGACAGGUUUCAUUCAUCAUUCACUCAAACUGGCUUUUCACAGGCUGUAGGUGCUGCAGAACACCCCUCAGUCCCACGGAAGCCCAGAGAAGCUGUCGGCCUGGCCAAGACAAGGAGAGAGGCAGGGCUGUGACUGACCACAGCGCUGCCCAGAGCCCAAGCUGCAGCUCCCAGCUCACUCCCGUUUGCUUGACAGGAAAAAGCAACAACUCGUGUAACUGCUUCACCCCAUGGACCAAACUCAAAUUGCCGGGUUUAUGAAUGACACCAACAGCAGCAGAUGGAGUAGGUGCCUGGAUUUUAGGUGAUUAACUGACCUCUUGAAUAAAGAACCACCAGAGUCACUAGAACACCCCUUGUUCAUUUUACUGCUUUCUAGGGUACAUUCCCACACCUCCUAAAAACAGUUCACAUCCUUCAGUCAGAGCACAGCUACGACAAAACACCAAGUUUCCCACAAACACAGGGUGAUCCAGUCUCCUCUGCAACUGUCCAUCAACUACACUCAACUACAUCAAGAAUAUUCUGAAGUUAGCACGAUAGUACUUAUUUUCCAUGAAUCAGGACUCGUUAUCAUUAAUCCUUUCCAUUUCUUUAACAAAUCACCUCAGUGAUUUUAUCAUUUCACUCAGGCCUCACGUCAGACCACCAGCAUCACAUUUACAGGGCUCAGCCUGUUCAUUCCUCUGGAAGCAGUCAGUCCCACAGCAUUUUUCAAGUCCUCUGCAACUUUUUUCAUUUUCCCAGAACUACCAAAACCCAAAUACAUGAUCAACAACAGCUCUCUGGCCCGCUCCUCCACAGCUCACGGACAUCUGUUAUCCAGGCCUCUGACUUAAAAACACCAAAUUCAAGUCUAACUACUGUUCAGUGUCCUCCUUGAUUACUGUGAAAACAGAGAGUGCGUUAUCAUACAUCCCACGAUGUGAACACGCUGUCUGCCUUUUUCCCAAGCACAGAACAAAAAUAUUUAUUGAGCUCUUUUGCCUCUGUAUUGACUAUCCUAAGAGCUCUGUGCAGUCAUAUUAAGCCUUCAUAUUUUUUUGUGUGUUUAUCCUAGUUCAUUCCUGGCUAUAGUUUUCUUCUGCCAAGCUUUGUUUCUGUUACAAGUUUUCAUGAACUUCUAGCUUCAGUGCUAGAAGCACUGAAACAUUUGAAACAUUUGCCCCUUUUCUUUUUAACGCUUGAUUGCAACUUUUUGAGGGCAGUGAAAAAGUUGCUAUACAAUUUCCAGCUAUCCAUACAUUUGCAUUUUAGGUACAUUUUAUAGGCCAAACAGAAGCUACGUUGCAAUAUUUGCACUUAAGCAGUUAUUUUUGUUGUGAAGUCAGACUAAGUGAAUUAUUAUUUGAGGAUUAGCUGCCUGAGAAUUAACAGGGUUUUACCGCUCAGGAGAUUAUAGUUAUUCUGAAGAAUAAAAUUAAUACCCUCUCUUUCCCACAUAAAAAUCACAUUUAACAUGAAUAUAAGGAACAGUGGGUUUACGUGAUACUCUAUCUUAAAUCCAUCAGAAUUACCCAAUGUACAGAGAAUGAACAAAACAUCUUACAAAUGUGCUUGCAGAAGCACGUGAAGCACUGGGAUGCACGGUACUUAUUUGACCCAGUCCUGAUUCAAAACAGAAAUAGCCAGUCUUCCUUAACAAUUAGUGGAUGCAAUUAAUUUCUUUCGUAGUGCAAGUUAUUACAAAAGCACGGGAAAAUGGCUGUCGAGAUUCCUCACGCUGGGAAGGAGGUGGUUAUUCACAGUGCCUAGCGCUGGCUCUCCCAGGCUCAUCUCCUCAGGCUCCUUCUGUAGCUGGUAGAAAGAGAUGCACUCUCAAAGGGCAAUUCAAAGAAUUUAAGCCAAGCUUACAUUAUGCUUAAAUGCAAGUAAUGCCAGAUAAUUAUACAACCUGUUUAUAAUGCAGUUCUCUACUUUAGCCUUUCACAACCAGGUACUAGCUGGCAAUACUCCCGGAGAUCUUUCAAACCUACAGAAAAUCCUACAAUGUAAUUGUGGAUUUUCUCAUUAUGCAAAUGUAUUUCUAAUCAUUUUUGAAUUCCGUUCUGGUUUUGACCUCACUACUAUAGCUUGGCAGAGAAUUUCAUAGGUUAAUUAUAUGUUAUGUAAGAAAUAAGUGUUCCUUUUUUCUUUUUUUUAAUGACUUAUAUCUUUCCCUUCUAUUUCAUUUGAUAAUCACCUUCUUCUUAGGGUAUUAAAAUAAGACAAACAAGCACAUUAAUGACUUAUGUAAGAAGAGCAUUACAAGGAGUGGUACGAAACUUUCUCUUACUCUCAGCAUUCUCCCUCUCUAAAUGUAACAGCAAAAUACAGAUCUUUCCUAUUUUUUUUUUUUUUUUUAACUCCCAGAUAUUUCUGCUGCCCAUCUGCAGACAAAACUGAAUGCAUUACUCCAAGCAGGCUUUAGACACUGAAAUCCCAGCAUUUAAAAUUUUAAUUUUAAAACUUUUGCUACAGUGAAGGUGACUUGCCAGAAGGAAGGUGGCUUUACAGCAACUGAACAAUUUGCCCUCAAGCCAAACUAGUCUUUUGCAUACAGACAAAAACCCCUUUCCAUAAAACAGGAGCUGCUUUUGUUUUUAAGAGCAAAACACAAGCUUAAUCGGGCUCCUGUCUACAUUCCCCUCAAAUAGAGUUGGGCUCUCUGGCUCUGGAUUGCAGAGCUCCCAACCCAGUGAUUCACUCACUGCCUUCUCGGAGCAGACCUGAUCGCCAGGCAGCCCUUCCGAAAGAUCACCCCGAGGUUGUUUCUGCCACAGGCUUCAACACAGAGCCCACUGAGCAAUGUGGUGUCAGCCCACUUCAGCUUCUGCACUGCUUUUUCCACUCCUCCUCAUGGCUCUUAUUUCCUGUGCUUCUUUACAUGCUGGCCAGUCAUCAGCCCCUUUUUCAGAUUUGUUUUGCCCAGACCAUCUUCUGCUUGCUGACCUAUACUUUUAUCCUUUUAAAACAUCCUUCCAGAAGCAGCUCAUCUCUGCUGGUCUCCUGUCACUUUCUUUUCUCCAUUGAAUGCUCUCUCCCCUUUCUCGCUACACACCAAGCAAAAAGAACUACAAAAAGUGUGUCAGUCCCAUUUAAUAUGCAUUACCAUCAAGCCUACACCUCUCAUCUGCCUCCCCCAAUAAGCCAAACCAGUAAAGCUUUCAAAUUCAGAAAUGCCUGUGAGUUUCACAAUUAGGCUUUCUGUACGUUACCAUAGAAGUGACCACACUAACUUUCAGCUGCCACGAGGCUGCCCAAUUACUCAGUCUGGCUUGUGAAUUUUUUGAAGACUUCUUACACUGACUCUCAACAAUUAUCAAACGAAAGUUUUGUCUGGAGCUUUGCAUGCUCUAUUCAGGCUGUGAAUGUGCUUUUAUAAAUAACGAUAAAAAGUAACAACUAGGCUAUUUCUUUUACGAGAAGCAAAACAAGGCAAAUCAGGAACUUUUUUAUACUGCUUAAAGGAGGGACUCGACCUCUCGUCAGCGUCAGAGGCAGUAAACGAUGGAGCAUCUUAAUUUGAGAUGGAUACUGCAUUUUUCACAUUACUCCUGCAAGAUGCUAAUGAGAUGCACCAGCUGAAACACAGAGCUAGAGAUCAGCUGGUUUCACUUCAGUACAAAUAAACAGCUCGAGUUUUAAAUCUCGAGUCUUGUGACAACAUUUCAUUAAUUCUCCUUUCAAAAACAUUGCUUGUGGGAAAAAGAUACUUAAAUCUCUCAGAGUAUGGAAAAGAGGUUUUGAUAACAGUCUUUUAAAGGAGCCCAGACACAGAGCUCAACAAGGCAGCACGCUCUUCAUCUUUUUCCCCCAUGUCUUAACAACUGGCUUAUCUAAUAACAAACAGAACAGUUAUUCCUAGCAAAUUUUCUUCUUUUAGUCACAACAGAUUUUCACUUAUGCUCAAAAUUACUUGGUCUUUUCCAUGACCUCUUCUCAAUGGGUGAUUUUCUCUAAGAAUCUAAGGAAGGAUAAUUAAUUUAAUAGUACACUCUUAUCUGUGAUUUUGCUCAGAGGCUUAAAGAAAUUUGGUUUACUAUACAGACGGUUUACUACUCGAAACAUAAUAAUUUAGUUGUUUUAUAACCACCUUAAAAUUUACUGUUGCAAUCAGUUUUAUUGGUAGGGAAGACUAACCGAAUUACACGUACAGUUCUCAGAAUCACCUCCUCAGUUUGCUUUCAUCUGUACAACAAUUCAACAUUUGUUACCCCACUAUUCUCCAAAAUAGCAUCUAAAUGAGAUUUGCAUAUUUUAGUCAACAGCUCAGCUGCUGCGUUUCUCAAUUCCUCGCAACUUUUCAGUGAAUAUCAGCUAGUCCUUCAGGGGAAGCUCCACUUAGAAGCAUCAAUAGCUACUACUCCAGCACCUUCCGUUUGACCCCUUCUCAGUCUCCUAAAUAACCUCAGCUCACCACAUGAAUAGAAUGGGUCUCUGUUAAAUAUUUCCUCAACAUCCUCACUGAGGAAGAUGGACAUAAAGAAACUUUUAAGCCUCUGGAUGAUCUUGCCCUACUUAAGCACUUACUUCAGUCUUUGAGGAAACAAAACCUUUACCAAGUCUGCUCUUACAAAACAGACAACCUAUUCAGAUACAAUUGAAAAAGAAUCAAAUGGAGUUGCCUGUUUGGCACGUGUUUUGCAUUUUAUGAUACAAAGGAUCUCUAUCCAUCCAAUGGCUUUGCUUGCACAAUUUUUUAAGAAAACGCUUACUUACACAAAACAAAAUUACAAUCUCCUAACAUUUAUUUUUGCCUGUCUGCUUCUAUUUUUAUUUUAAUUUACAUUUUCUGAACCCCUUUCCCAAUAAUUGAUUUUACCUUUAAAAGAAACAGCUUUCCUAUCUCUGAUGUUCCUUUGUUCUUAAAGAACAAGCAAAAUCCUAGCAAUAUUAACAAACAAGUCAGUUUUUAGCAGUUAGUAUUACAGUGCUGCUUUCUAUGAAAUCCCUCCUGCGAGAUAAGAAAUUUCAUUAUAUUGCAGUAUGCUAUCAUGUAGUAGGUCAAAUAUAUUUACAUUGUGAAUGAACUCUUGUGCAUUACUUAAUCCCAAACUGCUAAUAAUUUCAGGUCAUUUGUGCUCUAGACGCACAAACCUGUAGGGUCUGAAAGAUGUAAAAAAUGGCUUCUCUUAGAUAAGACUUUUUUAAACUUGUAAGCAGUUGAAAAAAGAUUAUGUAAGAAAUAGACCUUGAUGAAUUUUAAUGUGACUUACGCAUAAUAUUAAAUACUCUGGCUUGGAAAUAAGUAUAUAUAUAUUAAACUGAACCAAAUACAGAACAAUGAAGAAAACAAAAAUUAAUACAGAAUGCUGGCUAUAAAGAAAAGCAAGUUACAUCCACCUGUUCCCAUCUGCCAAACUGUGUUUUCCCCCUUGAUAUUAUCAUCAGGAAGUUUAUUCUAGCACAGUUCUUGUUGUUGUUGUUUUUUGUUUCUUUUAAAUUUAAAAAG